AUCAUUUUACAUGAAUGUGAUGAGAAAAAUCUUCCACUCCAAGGUUUGAACAAAUCUACGUUUAGAACAAAUAGACCUCCAUACACAUUACAAGGGGAAGUUCAUCCUGACAACAACACGUGAGAACAUCUCAUUUCCAACUUAAAUGUGGAAGGAGGAACAAGUGUCCUACAUGAAAUUCUCGGGCUACCUGGUCAUUGUCACAACUUGACAAAGAAUCGAUUGAGGAACCAGGUGUAGACGUUUUCGAGGGUGGCAACCUCAGCAGGGAUACCCCAAGGGAAGAGGCACAAGAAAGAAUUCUGUGCCCAAAGCCCACCCCCAAAUUCCU